ACGGGUGAGGAACGCGUGAGAACCUGCCUCAAGGUCGGGGACAACAGUUGGAAACGACUGCUAAUACCGGAUGAGCCGAAUAGGUAAAAGAUUUAUCGCCUAGAGAGGGGCUCGCGUCUGAUUAGCUAGAUGGUGAGGUAAAGGCUUACCAUGGCGACGAUCAGUAGCUGGUCUGAGAGGAUGAGCAGCCACACUGGGACUGAGACACGGCCCAGACUCCUACGGGAGGCAGCAGUGGGGAAUUUUCCGCAAUGGGCGAAAGCCUGACGGAGCAAUACCGCGUGAGGGAGGAAGGCUCUUGGGUUGUAAACCUCAAAACUUAGGGAAGAAAAAAAUGACGGUACCUAAUGUAAGCAUCGGCUAACUCCGUGCCAGCAGCCGCGGUAAUACGGAGGAUGCAAGCGUUAUCCGGAAUCAUUGGGCGUAAAGAGUCCGUAGGUGGCACUUCAAGUCUGCUUUCAAGACCGAAGCUCAACUUCGGAAAGGGAGUGGAAACUGAAGAGCUAGAGUAUAGUAGGGGUAAAGGGAAUUCCUAGUGUAGCGGUGAAAUGCGUA
rnacentral:rRNA from 1 species